rnacentral:rRNA from 1 species
CCUACGGGAGGCAGCAGUGGGGAAUAUUGCACAAUGGGGGAAACCCUGAUGCAGCAACGCCGCGUGAGUGAAGAAGGAUGGAGGGAGGUAAAGACCGAGCAGCAGGGAAGAAGAUGACGGUAGCUGAGUAAGAAGACCCGGCUAACUACGUGCCAGCAGCCGCGGUAAUACGUAGGGGGGCAGCGUUAUCCGGAUUUACUGGGUGUAAAGGGAGCGUAGACGGUGAGACAAGUCUGAAGUGAAAUCCCGGGGCUCAACCCCGGGACUGCUUUGGAAACUGCCUGACUGGAGUGCUGGAGAGGCAAGCGGAAUUCCUAGUGUAGCGGUGAAAUGCGUAGAGAUUAGGAAGAACACCAGUGGCGAAGGCGGCUUGCUGGACAGUAACUGACGUUGAGGCUCGAAAGCGUGGGGAGCAAACAGGAUUAGAUACCCGAGUAGUC